rnacentral:rRNA from 1 species
AUGGCAGCGAUCAUGGCGGCGCGCGGGCAGGGGCUGGUCCAAGAUUUCGACUUCUUCGUGGUGGUGGACUUCGAGGCGACGUGCAUGAAAGACGUGCGGAUCUUUCCGCAGGAAAUCAUUGAGUUCCCCGCCGUGCUCGUCGACGGCGCCACCGGCCGCAUCGAGUCCGUGUUUCGCAGGUACGUUCGUCCAAAACAUCACCCUGUGCUGACCCAAUUUUGCAGGGAACUCACCGGCAUCCGGCAGGAGGACGUGGACGGCGGCGUGGAACUCGGCGAGGGGCUCUGGAUGCACGACUCUUGGCUGAAGGCGGCGACGGCGGGGGCAUGGAGCUUGGCCGUCGUGACCUGGGGAGAUUGGGAUUGCCGCAUCAUGCUCGAGUCAGAGUGCCGCUUCAAGGGGAUCGAGAAGCCCUCCUACUUCGAUCGCUGGAUCAAUCUGAGGGUCACCCUCCAGGAGGCGGUCCGGGCGGCGGGACUGGACUGGGAGGGCCGCCUGCACUGCGGACUGGAUGACGCGCGCAACACGGCGCGGCUUCUUGUUGAGCUGAUGCGGCGCGGGGUCAAGAUGACCAUCACCGGUUCGCUGGCGCCGCCGCCGCCGAUCCAGCAGAAGGAGCAGCAGCCGCAGUUACUUACAAGCCCUUGUGGUGGCUCAUCGGCGCCGUCGCUGAUCCAGCAGAAGCAGCAGCAGCCGCCGCAGCCACACAUGAUAAGCCCCUGCGAUGGCACCUCUGCGACGUGCUUCUGCUACUGCAGGGUACCGACCAGAGGAGGCGUGGUGUCCGUGCCAGGGCCGAUGCAGGGCAAGUGCUUCUUCGGGUGUGGCAACUGGACGCCGGCCAUGGGACCCGUGUGCCCCUACUUCGUAUGGACCAACUGA